CCUACGGGCGGCAGCAGUGAGGAAUAUUGGUCAAUGGACGAGAGUCUGAACCAGCCAAGUAGCGUGAAGGAUGACUGGCCUAUGGGUUGUAAACUUCUUUUAUAUGGGAAUAAAAUGUUCCACGUGUGGGAUUUUGUAUGUACCAUAUGAAUAAGGAUCGGCUAACUCCGUGCCAGCAGCCGCGGUAAUACGGAGGAUCCGAGCGUUAUCCGGAUUUAUUGGGUUUAAAGGGAGCGUAGGUGGAUUGGUAAGUCAGUUGUGAAAGUUUGCGGCUCAACCGUAAAAUUGCAGUUGAAACUGGCAGUCUUGAGUACAGUAGAGGCGGGCGGAAUUCGUGGUGUAGCGGUGAAAUGCUUAGAUAUCACGAAGAACUCCGAUUGCGAAGGCAGUUCACUGGACUGCAACUGACACUGAGGCUCGAAAGUGUGGGUAUCAAACAGGAUUAGAUACCCUAGUAGUC
rnacentral:rRNA from 1 species